rnacentral:rRNA from 1 species
CCUACGGGAGGCAGCAGUGAGGAAUAUUGGUCAAUGGGCGGGAGCCUGAACCAGCCAAGCCGCGUGAGGGAAGAAGGUACAGCGUAUCGUAAACCUCUUUUGUCAGGGAACAAAGGCGGGGACUAGUCCCCGUAUGAGGGUACCUGAAGAAAAAGCAUCGGCUAACUCCGUGCCAGCAGCCGCGGUAAUACUGAGGAUGCGAGCGUUAUCCGGAUUUAUUGGGUUUAAAGGGUGCGCAGGCGGCCUGUUAAGUCAGCGGUAAAAGCCCGGGGCUCAACCCCGGCGAGCCGUUGAAACUGGCGGGCUGGAGUUGGAGAGAAGUACGUGGAAUGCGCGGUGUAGCGGUGAAAUGCUUAGAUAUCGCGCAGAACCCCGAUUGCGAAGGCAGCGUACCGGCUCCACACUGACGCUGAGGCACGAAAGCGUGGGUAUCGAACAGGAUUAGAUACCCUUGUAGUC